UACGUAGGGUGCGAGCGUUAAUCGGAAUUACUGGGCGUAAAGUGUGCGCAGGCGGCCGCGCAAGUCGAGUGUGAAAUCCCCGAGCUUAACUUGGGAAUUGCGCUCGAAACUACGUGGCUGGAGUGUGGCAGAGGAAGGUGGAAUUCCACGUGUAGCGGUGAAAUGCGUAGAUAUCUGGAGGAACACCGGUGGCGAAGGCGGCAUCCUGGACCGGCAUUGACGCUGAGGAGCGAAAGCCAGGGGAGCAAACGGG
rnacentral:rRNA from 1 species